AGCUAGUAAGUGUUUUGCAAAUAGUGAGAUACAUCUAAUCUCAGUUUCAUCCAUUGUCUCGUAUACGAUACGCGAUUCCCAAGGAGGUUUUCGAAAAGACAACAGCAGCGAUACUGGCAAUCAGCCACUAUCUUUUGCCAUUGAAUUUGGCCGGACCGAAAAUAAGUGGUCGGUAUCGAGAUAGGAACAGUGACACAGGUUCGAUCUUCUCUUUCGGGUCUUAAAGACCGGUUUAUUCUCCGGCGAGCACCGGACACAUUUCGCGGGAUCGUUAUUUCAACAACAGUAAUUCGCCGUGUAAUAUGUAAAAGGUACAUAGUGAGACAUAAAACAACGAAUAUAAGGAGAUAGUGUUUGUGUAUGUCACGAACAAUGUCUACACAUAUCGUUCUACUAAUGAAUAAUAUUUCUGCACAUACACCUAAAAGAAACGCGAACAAAUAUUUUCUAAAACCGAUAAAAUGAUGCAUCCUCGUAAUAACCUCAAUGCACAUACUGCGAAAUCAUUUAACGAAAUCUACCAUAAAAGAGUACUAGUCGAACGAAGCAUCGAACACGAUAGAGUCAAGAAAUUUUUGUAGAAAAAUUACGAGUAGCAAGAGAAAUAUUACUACGUUCGAGCAAAACGAGAAGAUUCCCAGUCAAUUUUCCCGCGUCCAGCAAAUCUCGUACCAAAACAAUGCGGACACGCUCGUUGCCGAUCUCCGGCUUUGCUCUAAAUCGAAACGCUCUGAUCACGAUAAAAAUACGCUUUGUGAGUGUGACACACUUAGACGCGGGGAAAAAUCGAUGUCGACCUACGUCGAGUGUCAAUGAUUAACGACUCGCUUAGCAGAAAUUGCUAGCAACAAAGUAAAACGAGACGCUUGUCGAUAUUCUGAUUAAUUAGCUCUCGCCUCCUACCGGAACAAUCGGAUAGCUCGCUGUAAUUCGAUAGCUCGCUGUUUCGCGAGCGAUUUCUGAAUUUUGAUCGACUUUCUUAUACAGGAUAUCGUUGUAUGUAUUAUAAUUUCCACUCUUUCGUUAAUUGAUUGGUAUCAAUUAUCGGAGGUUAGGGUACGCGAGUAUCUCAACGAAUGACAUGAAAAUACUACACUAGUUGCUAACAGUCUUUAAAAUGCUUCCUUUAGAAUAACCUCCAGAAAAAAGACGAGAAUAACACACGUACUCUGACAGUGCAAUUGCUUGCAGAAUGCAACUUUAAAUAACAAAAAGGUAUUACUGGUAAUUUGUGGAGGUUUAACUGGAGGGAUUUGAUUAACUUUAGAUCUGUUGUUCAGAUUUGUGACGGAUACUUCAUGAUAUACUUAAUAUUAUGGUAAUUUGAAGUAGUCAGUAACGGCACUUGGAUAUUUGUAAAGAUGGAACGAGCCUGGAAUUAGUAUGCUUAUAUGUACACAUAUGUAUUAGGUACAUAUGUAUUACGCUGCGUUAACUAAUCGCGAGUCGGGAUAUUAUGCGAUCAGUUAUCAGGGGAGCCAUAAUUCUAGCAAAUCUCGAGAUGUGAGAUGCGUAGAUACUCGAUACGUUUAUUUAUUUUACACGCAGAACAUUAAAAGGCAUCGCAUCAUAAGAUCAGAAUUAAGAACCGAUAGAGAUAGCAAAAUAACCAUUUAACGAAGCAGACUUUUAAUCAGUUGAUGUGGUACUAUUGUAAUUAUUAUAGAUUUGAUCGAAUGACAGGUUACUUGUAUCGAUCUAGCUUUAUUUACGACACUGACCACUUUUUGUUGAAAAAAUGAAUCCGAAUCCUGGAAGGCCUCAUUUUUGCACGAAAAAGAUCCUGAAUCUGUUUUUCAUUAAAAUCUUUUGCGUUUGUCAAAGAGAAACGCUUAGCUGGGAUAUGAGAUAGCGAUUUAAAUUCAAUAAACUUAAUAGGGCGACAAAACAUACCUGUUAUCAGAUUCGAUCGUUGGUGCUUACGUUUAAGUAUGCAGCUUGUGUUUCCGUCAGGCACGAUAAUUAUCACCCAGUUGUUUAGAUCUGAAAGAAUCGAAGAGAAGCCUAUCUUCGUGAGUACAGGAGCGGAAAGGAACUAAAAGGAGAUAAGGACUCGAACGAUCAACGCUAAGGAAUCAUCGACGCUAUUCGAACUCGAGAGUCUUUCAAUGAUUCCUUCUUCUCUAUUCAACCACAAGAGUCCAAAGCGAAAUACGCUGCUAUGGGAUAACGAUGGAAUAUUUUUAAUCGAAAGAAGAAAGACAAAGAUGACAGAAAGAAAAUGAUCAAACUUCGGUCUUGUCAGAUGUUUCGAAAUGGUAGACAGGAACUUUGACUAACGACGACCGAGUUCGACGAUAGCCUUGGAGUACCGUGAUCUCGGUGGCUGGUUCUGAUUUUCAGACGGAAAUUUGCGUCAAUGACGUACAAUGAAGAUUUAAUAGUUUGGCAAAAAGCCCAACGCAACGUUUAUCUCUUCAGAUGUUACGGAACCUUUGACGUUGUGUCUCGUCUCUUCGCUUCUCUUCUUCUUUUUUCUUUUUUUAUUCAUUCAACGGUGCCGUGAGGCAACGUUUCAUAAAACUCAUCUUCGUUGAUUCUUUCCUUCGGUGCGAAUAAGCAGAUCCAUAAAUUCUGGACGAGUUACAAUAACGGGAGAAAAAAGAAGAAGAAAAACGAGAGGCGCGUCUUUCUCCUCGGAACACCAAAGUAUUUGCACGCAUAUAUAAAAAGUUUUCACGUAUAUGUGUAUUGUAUACAACAUUUUCAAGCUUCGCCAACAUUGUAACGAAUCACCAAUGUUAUCAUAUUAUUUAUAUCGUGCUAUUAUGUCUGCAAAAUUUGAAAUCAAUUUAUGAGUACAGAUAUUCUAACGCAUUCACCGCAAGCAUUAAUUAAUGCACGGCACGAAUAGUUGUCUCGAAUACAAAAUAAGUGCUGAGGACGUUACCACUGAAUAUUCAAGUUUCUUGAUAUAACUGAUAAUUCAUUGUUCACAUACUUUUGCCAUCUUUGUGAAAUAUAUCUUUGCAUUGUGAAAUAUAUCUCGUGGCCUCUAUACAUACACAUUUAUUUCAAAUUUGUUUCAAAGCAACACGAUCACGAUAUUCUCGUUACAGGUACAUCGGUAUAUUCACAAAAGUUUCUGCAAGCGUUCAAAUACUUUCGUGAGAAACUCUACAACAUUUAUAUGGAUUGUACUCCUCUCUCUCUACUAUCGAAAAGUACACAAGUAAAAAAUCCAGAAGAAAGGUCACAAUAGCCGAUGUUAACUGUCUCAAGCAGCGUUUAUUUCGUUUCUUAUUAAUCAAGUCAGAGCAGUUCUUUAAAAAAUCAGUUUCUCGUUCUCGUGACUCUUGGCGAGAACGCGUUACAAUUACGCUUGUGUAUCGGAGGUUUCCAGGGGUUUCCCGACAAAUGUGGCGACAAGACAUUUUAUAAUAACUAUCCCACGUGUUUAUCACCGCGUCUACACCAUUUACACGUCUAAUCAUCGUAAACGCUCGAAUCGUACCAUUCAUAUAUAUAUUCCAUAUGUAUAAGUUGCGUUCUCCUGACGAGAGGAUGUACAACGACGGGUUGCUUCCAUCCCCUGUUCGUUCGUACUCGAGGAACAGGCGAGCGCGAAGAAAAGGGGUACGAAAAAUACAAAACGAAAAACAAAAAANAAAAAAAAAGAAAAGACGUUGAACGCAACAAACGAACAUGAUUCUCCGCAUUUCGUUUACUAAUUUAACGUAUUUUUAUCUACACGUAUGUAUACGCGCGCACCAAAUGCGUAUUUAUUAUAAGGUCGUAUGCGCGCAUGUUAGAGAUCAAAGGUUUCGCAUUGCCGCUUAAGAAAUCACGUUUUACCCUACGAAACUUAACGUUCUUAAUCGCGCGUAGGCUGCGGAUUAUUAUGCGUAUUUUAAGGUGAACUCUGAAGGUGAAAUCUGAAGGUACGAGGAUGCAUAGAACGCAUAGAAAGCACGAAACUGUGUAAAGUCUGCAAAAUGGAAUACUAGCUAAUAAUAAUAUUCAACGAGUGAAACAAAUUGCCAUUUAGAUUCCAUUUCUUCAGGUGUAUUCGUAAAUACGUGAAACUGUAUAAGAAUCCGCAGUCUAAUCUAUCCGUGGUAGAGCGAAGCACAGGAUGAAGAGAACAAAUUAACGAACAAAAGACGGUUCAUACGCAUACUCUCUGGAGACAGGACUUAUCAAAAGCGCGCAGUAGCUCGAUGGGGAUGGUUAUUAUUAAGCUGCCGCUGCAACUAAUCCACGAAAUGAGAACGAUGAUCCGUUCGUGAAAAAAAAACCCAGAAAAACAGAAAAAACAAAGAAAGUAGAAGAUUGCAAUGAUGAUAAGUAAAGGGUGUAACAUCGUAGAGGUACUAAAGUCAGUCACUUUUCGUUUUAAAAUCGUCCGCCAUUCAACGAGGGACGAUUCGUUUCUUAUUUUCAGUCUUUUUUUUUAUUCUUUUUUUUUUAUCUUUCUUUAUAUAUGUAUAUAUAUACAAAUCGAGGUACACAAUCAAAUACAAGACGAUCAUAGAUAUCGUUAGAGGUCGAUUCAAUAAAAAUGAAGUGUAAACGCAAUGAUGAAAACGGACGAAUCGAGGGAUUUGUUUUGUAUGGUACAAUUGAUGCGCGAACGAUGACAGGCUAAAAUAUCUUUACCUCGUGAAAGACGUUAUUAUUCUCCUUUCUUUCUCUCCUCGUGUGCACACACUCAUAAUACACGCACAUACUCGCAUACUCUCUCAUUCAUUACUUUUCCCAUAAUUCUUUCUCUCCGUUGCAGCGGCACAUGAUCGAACGAAAUAUCUCGCUCGUUCGCCCGCCCGAUUUAACGGCGAGCGUUCUGCGACUAAAAAAUAUAGAAAAGGCCUUAAAGCGGGUAGUACGUUGACUAAAAACGAACGAUAAUACAAAAUACAUAUUAUCGUGGAACGAAUGGUACCACUUUCGGAAAACGAUCCGCGGAUACAAGGAUAAAAGAGUUGCGUGCAGAAACGUACGCGUGCGAAAAAGAACAUCGUUAAAUCGAGGGAGGAUAUUUAUGCAUAUGCGUGUGUAUGUAAUAUAUAUAUAUAUACGCGCAUAUAUAUAUAUAUAUAUAUAUGUAACAUAUAUAUUUUGUACAGAGUAUUUUUCAUUUUCAUCGUACAAACUUGUUCUAAGUGUCUUUUACGACGACUCUACGAAAUUCUAUCGGCAGCAUACUAUUAUUUUCGGUCGUUGCUCUACUAUUCUCUCAUACUUUUCUUCUAUUUCUUCUUUCUUUCUUCGGACAUAGAAAUCUUGUUUGUACGACUAUCGAUCUUACCUUCGCGCGUACCGUGUGUUUUAUCGAGCCGUGACACGAUCGUUUUGCACAUUCGUCGAUCGUGCGUGUACAACGCGUUUUUCAUAGAAAACAAAAAAUUAAAAAACGAAAAAAAGAAGAGAGAGAGAGAGAGAAAGAGAGAGAGAAGUGGGAAGAGAGGAUAUGGAGUAAAGAAGUAAGAUACGUGCGUCCGAUAUGGAUUCGAUCGACGCGCAUGCAGAGAUUAAAAAUCAGUUGCGUGUUGUUAAAAUUCUACGGUUCCAGUGGCUAUCGUAUAUCUGGUAUGAAAACGGUUUGUUUACGAGGCCGGAAAGCUUUUUCGCAAACGGAUUAGUUCGACCACGGCGAACACGCGGUGAUACGGUCCGUUGGGAAAGCCGCCAGGAUCUCUGUUUCUCUCUCUUUCUUUUUUCAUUUCUCCUCCUCCGCCUCUUUCUCUGCUUCUUUCCUUUCUCAUUUUUAUUUUCGCGACAGAUCUUCGAGUCGCGUUCGACCGACCCGUGAAAAUCAAUCGAUCUCCGCGAUGCUUGUUCGGCCAAUAAAACACACAGUGGCGGCGAGAGGCAGUGUUUCACAGCGAAUAAAAAUGCACGCUUCGUUGGACACGAAAUAAAAGUCGUGAUACGCUACGGCGCACGAUCAAUUGGUCGUUCCCUCCGGAAGAGAGACGCGGGUUAAAAUAAAUAUACAUCGGAACGCGUCGUUCUCGUCGCUAGAUAAAAAAGAAAAAAAAAGAAAAUAAAAAAAAAGAAAAUAAGGACAAAUAAAAAAAGAAGACACAAAGGAAUUGAAUAUCAGCGGAACUAUCUAAGAUCUAGCGGACUUUUUCGUUUUUUUUCUUUCCUUUCGCUUAUUUCCUGCUACUUCUUCCUUCCUCCUUUCCUUCUCUUCUUUCACGCUUUCGUUUCUCGUCUUCGUGCAACUUCGAUUCGAUUAACGUUAGUCUCCCGUUCCACUUGUUCCUUACCUAGUAUUACAGCUUAUAAUCGAUUACCACUAUUCGCUUAACGAUUACUUUAUUACUUCUUCUAGCUCGAGCCCUUUGUAAACGCUGUUGGGCGUGUUCCGUCAAGGUUCGUCGCUAAACCACACGAAUUUUCACCUGACGAGCGUGAUUUCGCCGCUACGUUCGAUUCAUUUUAUACGAAUCACAGAAUCAGCAUUACGAUCGAACGCGGCGACGAUUGCGAUCACGACGAUGACGACGACGAUGACGACGACGUUCGCGUUCGAGAUGUUCGAUUAUAGCGGCGGGGACGCGCGUUAGAAGCGGAGUAAAACGGAUCGAGAUUCCAAUCGUGUUUCACUUUUCGAACGAUGACGACUGGGCAAGCGAAAGGGAGAAAGAGAGGAAAAAGAGAGGAAAAAGAGAGGAAAAAGAGAGGAGGCAGCACGGAGAUUCACCGGAAUGGCGAGAUCGGAAAGAGGUAAGGUCACGGAACGAGGCAGCCGGCGUUCAACGAACUUGAAGCCACCACGCCGCGCUGAUCGAUUCGAUAAAUCCACGUCCCCGGAGAUUAAUUCGCCAAUCCCCUAAUUACCGCGCCCGUAAACGUUUAUAACUUACGAAUGUACGCAGAUAUGUACGUAUUAAUUAACAAACUAACUGCCAUGAUUUUUGCUCCACAACGAAAACAAUUUUUCGCGAAUAUCUCAAGUCGGUGCGUGACCACUGACUUGAGAUAUUCUUACGCGUUAAUAAUAUAUAUAUACGUAUUUUGAUCGAAUUUACUCAACUAAAAUUCAUAGAAUUAUAUACAAAUUUUAGAAAGAAAUACUACGGCAGUUAAUAAUGGAUUAAUAUAUAUCUAAUUAGAAAUCACAGAAAAAGAAACACAAUAAGUAUAUGACCGUUUAGUAUAAAAUUUUGACGAAAAGAGUCUGUCACGUUCAGCCAAAAGUAUAAUCGUUCAAACAAACGAUAUUUCAAUAUCCCCGAUGUUCUUUCAAUAUUUCAACAUUAUGUCCAAAAAAAAAAAAAAAUUAAGAAGAAUAUAUCAAGGUGGGAAACGUGACUUAUCGUGUUUUUCGCUUAUAGUUUUCCAUUAUAACGAUCUUGGCAAGAUUUCGUAUCGCGCGUUUCCUCCCUUCUUUCCCUUUUCCUCUCUAUAGCUUACUGUUUUCUUUCACAUUCUUACAGGCCCUUUCGUUAAAGUCGGAAAAUCGAACGAUACAAUGUGUAAGCGUUAGUUUAUCUUUCCUCGAUGAAACUUUGUUUCAUCCUCUAUUCGAUAACGUUCUCGAUUAACAAUUCGCGAGAUAUUCGUCUUACGUUUUUGAAUAAUUCAGAGACAAACACUCGGACAGACUAGAGAUCAAUAAUUUUCGAUUUGUACAGAGAUUGGCGACCGAUAACGUUCAUGUCGUUGUUUCAACCGUAUUUUCUCUAUCCAACGACUUUCUUCCAAUACGAAUAUUAAAAUAUACCGUCGUACGACACACUGUCCUAUGUAUUAUACAUUGUAUGUACGUGUGUACAUACGUGUGUAUUUGUGUGUGCGCGCGUAUGUACACAUUAUUCACCAUGCAUCGAGGUUGUACCAUAAUAUGCGUAUUACAUACGCAUCGCGACGCAGACGCAUAAUAAAAGCACUUAACGCGGUGUUACUAACAUUCACUCGCAUAACACCUUUUCGAAGUUUCCUCGACCCUGCUACAUUCUUCGGACUCGAUGUUUCUGAAUUUCUGUUUCACCGCUGUCGUUAAAAGAUUUCGUUAAAUCGAAGGAUCAUCGUCAAUAUGAAGGAUUUCUCGUUUCGACUCGAUACCAAAGUUUCCCUCGAACUUGCCAAAGCUUUUUCUGCUCGUUGAAACGAGACCGAUAUCAGAACGUAAUCGCUCGAAGACCGUAGCAGGGUCUAACGGAUACGACGAUUCAAGUAAACCGGGGUAAACGACAUUCUUCGUUCUUCGACGAUCGAUUGCUUCCAUCUUCGAUCUCGUCAUUUCGAUUUUCCAUACGAAGAGAAAGUCUUCUCCUCGAUUUAUGUUCCUAAACUUUCUCUAUGCUCGUCAUCUACUCCGCUUCGCUGCGAUUCACCAAAGUACGUUUCUCGAAAAGCGUAUCCUACUACCAAGUAUUCUAGUCGUUUCUAAGCAACUUCGGCUUUAGCCCUUGGUCGCGGUGUCUCCCCUCGACUUUCGUUUCUCUCGCCGCGAGUUAAAUCAUUCGGUCCCAAAGAGACGGAAACACGCGGUGCAGACGCUAUUGGGUCCAACAUGCAAAAAUUCAUCGACCCUUCCGUGUUCCGUUUUCGUCCGAUCGAACCGUUUUUCCCCGGUUAGUUCUUUUGUCGCGCGUCCUACAUUUUCGUGUUCGUACAAGCCGAAGAGAUGCAUGCAUACCCGGACACGAUACAUAGGUACACGGGGUAGAGGGUGGCCGGUUGUUAAGCUUUAAUAUGCAUUUCCGCCAGGUGAAUAUCGUGAAAAUCCGUGACAGCGUUUAUUUUUAAUAGGCAGCUUUGAUGUUGGCCGGGCUCCUUUUAGAAAAUUCAUCGUCCGGCUAUCGAGCACACCGAUGACCGCCUAUACGUACGAUACAUCGAUAUCAAAUAACACUUGAUUCGCGAACAAAUGCGUUUCAUUGUCCUUUAAAAGGCUGUCUCGUUUCGGAUUUUAGAAAUAUCGCUGCUAUAGGUACGUAUUGUUCCGUGUUUACAGGCAGAGUAUCCUUAACCCUCUAUAACCGGAAUUUCAAUUACUUACGAGAAGAAGAGAUCGAAGCUAAUCGCAGACUUUAAUUUUAACCUAAGAUCACGAACAAUUAUUUUAUAAAUAAAAUAUCCCAACCCGCGACUCGGCGCAGCCGUAACAACGUAUCGUAGUUGAAAUAAAAAUAUCAAUACGUAAUUUUGUAAGUUACGUUACCGUUAUAAAUAAAUCGUUUAACGUUGCCAUGACAUAUCGAUGAAAUAUCGAGCCGUCCGAAAAGCUUGUUGCGAUUUUACAUUUCGAUUCGAUGUACGUUUAUUAAAUUAUACAAACAUCAUUUCCUCCCAUAGAUUUUCUCCAUCUAUCGCGCAACUUGAAUAUGUCGUUCUUUGAAAGCCUCUUAGGUUUCUCGGCGAACAACUUUUCAAUAUGAUUUUCGGACGACCCAAUAUAACGUUGCAGUAAUAAAUAAAUAAAACAGUACGUGGAUAGAUAAUUUCCAAGUUUACUCUUUGCAAGAGACCGUUCUUCGUACAUUCGUCCGUUUAUACGUUUCAAGAAUUAUCUUGUAUCGUUCUCAUCUCGUUACACGUUUCUUUCUAUCCUCGUAACAUCGAUAUUUUGUUAAACGAUCCAUUUAUGACAGUGGACGACUCUUAGUUGUUUCUCGUAAGAACGAAAAACUGUAAUUAGCAGCAUCGUCUUUCUCGGAAGAAAAAUUCGGUUAUGGAAGGUCAAGGCGGAUUGGUAGUCUUGAUUUUUCGUUUCGUCGUUUUGCAUCGAACACGAGAAUUCAACGAAGCAAUGCAAAAGGAAAUACAAAGUAGGAGCGAAGCGCGCGAGCAACGAAAACGUAUCGUCCGUAUCUGGUUCUUUUUUCCCUCCGCGGCUUUUUUUCGCCAGAAGAGGAAUCUUCGAGCACGCCUUCCAGACAAUCGGAACACACCCUCGUUUGCCUUGAGUUAAAGCCUCGACCUUGGAACGGUCCGCGCUUAUAUCCCGGCCGUGUAUACGUUAUAAGCCUAAAGCCAUCGCUUAAAACUCAUUGGCGUCGGGACGCGUUGCAUGAGUAGUAAGAAAGCAAUUAAAACAAGAAAGGGAAAAAAAGAAAGAAGAGGAGGGAAAAAAUAAAGGAAAGAAGAAGAGAAAACAACGUAGGAAGAAGAACGUAGAGAGACCUAAUCGCUUAUAGUUAUCGUAUAUCUAUAUAGGUAUAUCUCUCUCUCUUUCUUUCCAAAACAAAAUAAAAAUAAGAAAAAGAAGAAGAAGAAGAAGAAGAAGAGAAGCAGGAUGUUCAACGAAUUUCUCUGCGCAAUCUUCUUCGAGAUCAGUCGAUAAUGUAAUGUAUACACAUGAUUAGUUUGAGCCGAAGUUUGCACCGACAACGAAUAUGGACAACGUUUUGAUCACAGUAAAGCACAGUGAGUGAUCGAUUAAAUUAAAUCGUAGGUAAAAACUCGAGCGACCUACAUCUCCGGUUAAUAUUAUAAAACAAAACUUGAGUAAAUGGUAAACGUUUCACCUGCGUCUAUACAGUUGUCUUUUUCUUAUCUUUUCUUUUUUUUUUUUAAUACGAACUUUUUUCUUAUACCAACCAGUGUGAAAAUGCUACCUAUUAUUUAUAACAAUGACACACACGGCCUAUAAGCAUGCCCAGCGCGUUCAUUACGAUAAUCCUUGUGCGAACACGACGACGACGACGACGACGACGACGACGACGACGUCGAUGACGAGCACGCGCUAUUGAAAUUUUCACUGCACGAGACUAGGAUCGUAAAUAAUACAUGCGAUCACUUUUCUGCGUAUCUACGAGAAAACGGAGAGCCCGAACUUAUGUAGGAAGGUAUUGGCAGUGGUAUUAACGAUCGAUCGUUGGAUCACGCGCGGACGUUGCUUGCUAACGUAACGCGAAAAAAUCCAGCUGAAACUAAAAUCCGACGCGACCACGAAAGAUCGAUCGGCGGAUGCUUGUGUUUCCUCCGCGUUCCUCGACCGGCGGAUGAACGAGCCUUUACAAGCGUUACGAAAGAAAAAAGGAAUAAAAAAAAAAAAAAUAACGAAGAAAAAAAAGGCAGGAGAGAAGAGAAGACGAGUGGACGUUCUCUCUCGGACAAAAUUAAUCGGAAACGGUACCGCGAACGCGGUGUACGUUCUACGAAAGGAAGGAAAUAAAAAAA
rnacentral:lncRNA from 1 species